rnacentral:tRNA from 1 species
GAUUUCAUAGCUCAACAGGUAGAGCACUACACUUUUAAUGUAGGGGUUGUGGGUUCGAUCCCCACUGGAAUCA